UGGCAUUUUUUCUUGGUGCACUUCCCUAUGUCCAGCUACACAACAAGAUGAGGGUGGCGAUGGUCAGUUGUUGAGCUUCGAACGGGCAGAAAGCUACACAACAAGAUGAGGGUGGCGAUGGUCAGUUGUUGAGUUUUGAACGGGAAGAAAGGAGGAGGCCAGCUGAGACACUAUAGUUGUGGUGAUGAAAGUUGGGCAAUGAUGAAUACAAGCAAAAGGCUGUGCAAAGAAUUUCCAACCACAACCCUGCAGACCGGGAGCCAAAUGAACAGGACCUCGACCAGCUUCAAUUACAACUGAACAUGUUUCUAUAAGGAAGAGUUGACAAGGUACCUGGAGAUUACAAUGACUCGUGCCCUCUUAAAAGAACACUCCGCACGCACACUGCUUUGCAUUUUAGAAUAUACAUACGCUUUGUGUUACUGUGCAGAUACAUUGUGUCUGGUAUAGCGAAAUAUGACCAGCACUUCAUUGUAUUGGGAUGGGUGGCCUGUUCGAUUAUAAUGGAACUUGUACUUCACUCCUAUGAAUAAUAUACUGCCGGGCUGCUAAAGAUGUGCACACUCGACUGCUUUGGUCACGGGACAAAAUCCGCUGGCCCGCACUCCACUGGAUUAUAUACUGCAUUGCAUUGCUGGUGCCAAUGUAGUGUACUUUAUGUAUGGAGAUUUCUAAUGACCUUGGUGCACGCUAUUUACUGUUGCUAACGGGAAAGUCUAGACAAAACCUUGUAAAUCUGAGUUUCCAACUUUUCGAUACCUCAGCCAAGAUUGCCA